UACGUAGGUCCCGAGCGUUGUCCGGAUUUACUGGGUGUAAAGGGUGCGUAGGCGGCAAUGCAAGUCAGGCGUGAAAGCUCGGGGCUUAACCCCGAAACUGCGCUUGAAACUGUGUUGCUUGAGUGAAGUAGAGGUAGGCGGAAUUCCCGGUGUAGCGGUGAAAUGCGUAGAGAUCGGGAGGAACACCAGUGGCGAAGGCGGCCUACUGGGCUUUAACUGACGCUGAGGCACGAAAGCAUGGGUAGCAAACAGG
rnacentral:rRNA from 1 species